rnacentral:rRNA from 1 species
AGAGUUUGAUCCUGGCUCAGGACGAACGCUGGCGGCGCGCCUAACACAUGCAAGUCGAACGAGCGAGAGAGAGCUUGCUUUCUCGAGCGAGUGGCGAACGGGUGAGUAACGCGUGAGGAACCUGCCUCAAAGAGGGGGACAACAGUUGGAAACGACUGCUAAUACCGCAUAAGCCCACAGGUCGGCAUCGACCAGAGGGAAAAGGAGCAAUCCGCUUUGAGAUGGCCUCGCGUCCGAUUAGCUAGUUGGUGAGGUAAUGGCCCACCAAGGCGACGAUCGGUAGCCGGACUGAGAGGUUGAACGGCCACAUUGGGACUGAGACACGGCCCAGACUCCUACGGGAGGCAGCAGUGGGGAAUAUCGCACAAUGGGGGAAACCCUGAUGCAGCGACGCCGCGUGGAGGAAGAAGGUCUUCGGAUUGUAAACUCCUGUUGUUGAGGAAGAUAAUGACGGUACUCAACAAGGAAGUGACGGCUAACUACGUGCCAGCAGCCGCGGUACAACGUAUGUCACAAGCGUUGUCCGGAAUGACUGGGUGUAAAGGGAGUGCAUGUGGGAACACAAGUUGGAAGUGAAAUCUAUGGGCUCAACCCAGAAACUGCUUUCGAAAGUGUUCCACUUGAGUAGUGCACAGGUACGCGGAAUUCCCGGUGUACCGGUGGAAUGAGUAGAUUUCGGGAGGAAACCAGUGGUGAAGCGGUCUACUGGGCACCAACUGACGCUGAGGCUCGAAAGUGUGGGUAGCANACAGGAUUAGAUACCCUGGUAGUCCACACCGUAAACGAUGAUUACUAGGUGUUGGAGGAUUGACCCCUUCAGUGCCGCAGUUAACACAAUAAGUAAUCCACCUGGGGAGUACGACCGCAAGGUUGAAACUCAAAGGAAUUGACGGGGGCCCGCACAAGCAGUGGAGUAUGUGGUUUAAUUCGACGCAACGCGAAGAACCUUACCAAGUCUUGACAUCCUGCGACGCACAUAGAAAUAUGUGUUUCCUUCGGGACGCAGAGACAGGUGGUGCAUGGUUGUCGUCAGCUCGUGUCGUGAGAUGUUGGGUUAAGUCCCGCAACGAGCGCAACCCUUACUGUCAGUUACUACGCAAGAGGACUCUGGCAGGACUGCCGUUGACAAAACGGAGGAAGGUGGGGAUGACGUCAAAUCAUCAUGCCCUUUAUGACUUGGGCUACACACGUACUACAAUGGCGUUAAACAAAGAGAAGCAAGACCGCGAGGUGGAGCAAAACUCAGAAACAACGUCCCAGUUCGGACUGCAGGCGGCAACUCGCCUGCACGAAGUCGGAAUUGCUAGUAAUCGUGGAUCAGCAUGCCACGGUGAAUACGUUCCCGGGCCUGUACACACCGCCCGUC